rnacentral:tRNA from 1 species
GGGGCAGGGGCUGAGUGGCAAAGCGCUCGCCUAGCAUGCAAGAGGCACUGGGUUCGAACCUCAGCACCA